CUGUGCCUCUGUUCCAGAACUUCCUGUACAAGUGCCUGGGGACCGCGCUGGCGGCGGCUGCGAGCAGGGAGGUGGUGAGGAAGAGCCUGCGGGAGCUGCUGGGAGCCGCCAGCUACCAGCAGCAGGCGGAGCACGAGGUGGGCGCCCAGGACAGGGCCCUGUCCCGAGGUGCAGGUGUGUGCGUGGCGCCCUGUCUGCACCCCGGCAUGUGUGUGCCCCUUCCCACACCCAGCAGCGGGGUGGGCUGGGGCCUCCUGGCCCAGACACGAGCACCGCUGAGUGUCUACCCCAGGGCCUGGCCUGCUGCUUUGGGAUCUGUGCCACUGCCCACCUUGAGGACACUCUGACCCAGCUGGAGGACUUCAUGAGGUCAGCUGUGCUCAGGAAACCCAGCGGCAUCUUCAGCAUCUUCAAGGUGAGGGUGGAGGGCCG
rnacentral:lncRNA from 1 species